CCUCCUGCUGCUACCUGCGAUUGCUACCAGCUGUGGUGUAACACAGUCUCAGAUUUGCGAAAUAAAACAAAAGUCAUCAUCAUCAUCAUCAAACUCCAAAAUUGUGAAUGCUGAGAGCAGUAGGAACGCUGAGCAUGAUCCAGGGUACUUUCCAUGCACGUUGGAACCAUUCUUGGAACCAUUCCUAUUUUUGGACACGCUGGCCAUGAAGGAUAGCACUUCCACUUGCCACAUUCGAUUUGAAUGUAGCCAAGUUUGGCUAGGAGGUUACGGAGAGAAUGACAUUUUACAUCCAUGUUGAAAAGCCGAAUCGCCCUGCACAUCAGAGCCAAUCACAAUGUUAGUACUUUACUUUGUACAUAGCUACGGGUGGAAAGGUUUCUAGUUCACUAACGUCCAUCGUCCUGCCAUGCAACAAACUGUGUAACGACCAUAGUUGGCGUUGCCCGUCAGCACGGUCAGAGCCCUCCGCUGUACACCAUACAGGUAAGUACCUAGAGCGGCAGUUAAAGGGAAACUGAACGCCAAAAAUAAGUAUGGCUUAUCCGAAGGGGAAUUGGGCACUGAUUCCGAUGAGCUAUGUCUCGAGCCGAUCAGAGAAGAGGAACUGUGUCAAAUUUCAUAAAUAACACCUCCCAUAUUUGGAAAUUGGCCUUGAUGACGUGCGUACUGCUUAGCUGUCACCAUGCUGUGCAUGUUCAGCAGUGUAAUUGAAUGGAAGAAAACAAUUACUUUGGUGUUUUGCAGCUCUGUUUCGUUCCCUGACGGUAACCAAAUCUAGAUGUAGGAAUCUGUUGAGCAGGAGAGUGACACCUGUCUUCCCGAAGGCUGUCCAGGCUGCAGUGGUGAUGAAGAAGACACGAUCAUCACCCCGAGAUCGAUCGUAGCGAAUUGGAAAACUCAUGGUGAAUUUGCUUCCACUCCAAGGCAAUGUCGAGGUAUGAAGGGUGCUUGUACUGCCUUCCGAAGUGAAGAGGAGAUGAACAUGGCUUUGCAUAGCUGUUGUUCUAUGCCAACUUACCUACUCUUGCUGGUACCGUAGUGGCAUAUUGCAAAUUUCGUGGACGAACAACUCUAGUCACUAGUGGCUAGUGAGCAACACUAACAGACCAGAAUGCUUCGUUAUCAACUCCUGGCUUUCCAUCGGCAUGGUGUUCAGCUGCAGCGGCAUCUGGUCCGGGGAGUUCAAGUUGCUGGAUGGCUGCACUGACACAGGAUGGGUUUGCGUUGGCAAUGCGAUACGGCAGUCAUCCCACAUCACGAGCUACAUGUUUAUGUAAUUUAUAUUGUCGCUUGUCCAGCAACGUCAAGGCUCUGCAUGUAAACACAGGAGAACACCAUAAUACUACUCAGGGGAUAAUAAUUUUGGGUAUCAAUUUCGUGACAAUUAUUAGAUUCACACAAUAUUCACAACGUAUGCAACACGAUGCUGUCUAUUGACACUACUUCAAACUGAAGUGCUCACUACUCCUCUCCCGUUUUUAUCUCCCUCUACCUUAUGAAUACUCUGCAUUACUGGUUUCGUUUCUACCCUUUCCAUUGCUGCCAGCUCCCAGUCUUUUUCAAUGCACAGCACCACCUUGACAGUCAUUUUUGUGAUUUGAUGUACACAUACUUUGAAGUUCAAAUUCGAAUUACAUGAUCAGAUUUUUGUUCCACAUUUUCUAUUUAUUUUUACUUCAAGCACAACCCUACCGAUGAAGGGAAAGAAGCAGCAGAGAGA